AUUUGCUGACACAGGAAACAGAGAUGUAUGUCCACAGAGGGCUGAGGCCUAAAACCAGGAAUGAUCCAGGACCAGGGUUGGUGGAUUGAUGGUUCCUGCUUCUCCAACAACAGCUGGGGCAGCGAGUCCCCAGACACCAGCAACCGCUGCCUAUUGCUCAAUUCUUAUGCACAGAGGAUGUGGUUUGUCCUGAAGGCGGGAUGGGGUUCCUGGGCUGCUGUUUUUACCUGAACUAUGGAUUCUCUGACCUGGCUCGAAGCCGGGUGAAGUACAACGGGAUAUACUGUAGAGCCCUGCUGCAACAUCAGAAUGUAUCCAGAUCGGCUGCAAAUACACUUCUUCAGUUCUGUUCAUUCUCGUACGGAGGUGGAUCUCGCUGGUCAAACCCUGUCUCCAUCCCCGCACAUCCGUAACCUGGGAGUCAUCUUCGACAGCAACCCCACUUCUAUAAUCUUGUUGAACAAGCUGGAAUUUUGACAAUAUAUAACAUCAGUGUACCACUGGCAACUUAGAGUCUCCCGUUGACCUGGUCUUUGUACCAGCCGACGGAUUAGAACCUAGAACCUUCUGGCUUAAGAUGUCAGUCAGUAUUUAUCUUCACUUAGUUACUUGCUACUCAAGUCAUCUUUUAAGUAGACAAGCUCAUGCUCCAACUAUUUCCACUUCUGCUUAUUUCAACAAACUUUUACUUGAGUACAGUUUGGGCUUCUCCACCCACCUCUCUUUUUAAACAGUGGCCGGUUCAGUGGCGUUUAUCUCCACUGUGCUGAUUCAAGUCACACCAGGCCUUCCACCCAACACUUCCUCCAGAAUGUUCUCAUAUAAAGUCUUCCCUUCAUUGGAAAGGGAAAGCCUUUUGAUGUUAAGCAACUUCAGGAAGUGUUAAGAGUUUGAUGACGAUAUCUUAAUAUCAAUUACGAGUACAGCGAAGAAGAGACAGAUUAAUCGUAUAGUAUGAAAUCAGUCAUACUCUAUGUCUUCUCGUAGGCUACAGCUAAUUACAUCCUGCCAUUAUUUGAAUACUGGUUUUUAAAUGAGAAUUUAUAG